AAACGGGCCGAGUUAAGGUUGGUUCGGCAGAAAAGAAGGUUAGGAAUGGGGUGAAAAAUGGGGAAUAAGUGUGAGGCAAAUAAAGGUAUAAUUCGGGUUUGUUCAUUAUGGCCUGAGUUUCCGUGAGUCUGAGGCCUUGAAAUCUUGGGGAGAGACCGGGAUUAGAUACCCCGUUAUUCUGAGAAGUAAAAGAUGUUUAAGAGAUCUGCCCGGGUACUACAAAUUUUAGGGCGGGAGAGAAACUGUUCGGGGAUUAUUUAAAACUUAAAAGACUUGGCGGUGCCUUAAUUCUUGCCAGGGGAACCUGCCCCAUAACUGAUAGUCCGCGUUUAAGCUUACCUUGUUUUGAAUAAUUUGUUGGGGUUACGGAAGGGCAGCUUGUAUACCGUUGUCGUCAGGCGGCCUUUAAGAGGUGAUGAGUGGCCUGGGGAGGAGUGUGCCUUAUCGAGAGUAGGGGUGAAUUUCUUAGACGUCAAAUCGAGGUGCAGUUAAUGGCAAGGUUGGUGGUGGGUUACAGUAAUUAUUGUUUACACGGAGUCGGGCUUGUAAUAGCUUUAUGAAGGUGGACUUGGGAGUAAUUUGAGUGAUUAGGAAGCUCGGGUGAAGAAAUGCUCUAAGGUGUGCACAAAUCGCCCGUCGCUCUUGUUGAGAAAUAA
rnacentral:rRNA from 1 species